rnacentral:sRNA from 1 species
GCCAGGCAUGGUGACGCACUCCUGUAAUCCAAGCAGCUUGGGAGCUGAGGCAGGAGGAUCACCAGUUCAAAGCCAGCCUCAGCAAAAGCGAGGCACUAAGCAAUUCAGUGAGACCCUGUCUCCA